GCCUGGGUGGGGUAAUGGCUAUCCUAAGGGAUUGUGGUUCCCUCGAUCUGGGUUCAAUUCCCGGUCCAGGCC
rfam:Methanospirillum hungatei JF-1, complete genome.